rnacentral:rRNA from 1 species
GACGAACGCUGGCGGCGUGCUUAACACAUGCAAGUCGAACGGAAAGGCCCUGCUUUUGUGGGGUGCUCGAGUGGCGAACGGGUGAGUAACACGUGAGUAACCUGCCCUUGACUUUGGGAUAACUUCAGGAAACUGGGGCUAAUACCGGAUAGGAGCUCCUGCUGCAUGGUGGGGGUUGGAAAGUUUCGGCGGUUGGGGAUGGACUCGCGGCUUAUCAGCUUGUUGGUGGGGUAGUGGCUUACCAAGGCUUUGACGGGUAGCCGGCCUGAGAGGGUGACCGGCCACAUUGGGACUGAGAUAGGGACCAGACGCCUACGGGAGGCAGCAGUGGGGAAUAUUGCACAAUGGGCGGAAGCCUGAUGCAGCAGCGCCGCGUGCGGGAUGACGGCCUUCGGGUUGUAAACCGCUUUCGCAGGUGACGAAGCGUGAGUGACGGUAAUGGGUAAAGAAGCAACGGCUAACUACGUG